rnacentral:tRNA from 1 species
UAAUAUUAAUAUACAGAUUAUAGAUUAUUUUUAUAAAUUUCUAAUAAUUAAGAAUUUUAGACCUUUAUGUGUUUUACUAUAAUC